AUUGGAAACGAUAGCUAAUACCGGCAUAAUAGUUUAUGACUCAUGUUAUAAACUUGAAAGAUACAACUGUAUCACUACCAGAUGGACCUGCGUUGUAUUAGCUAGUAGGUAGGGUAACGGCCUACCUAGGCGACGAUACAUAGCCGACCUGAGAGGGUGAUCGGCCACACUGGGACUGAGACACGGCCCAGACUCCUACGGGAGGCAGCAGUAGGGAAUCUUCGGCAAUGGGGGGAACCCUGACCGAGCAACGCCGCGUGAGUGAAGAAGGUUUUCGGAUCGUAAAGCUCUGUUGUUAAGGAAGAACGGGAGUAGGAGUGGAAAGCCUACUUUGUGACGGUACUUAACCAGAAAGGGACGGCUAACUACGUGCCAGCAGCCGCGGUAAUACGUAGGUCCCGAGCGUUAUCCGGAUUUAUUGGGCGUAAAGCGAGCGCAGGCGGUUAGAUAAGUCUGGAGUAAAAGGCUAUGGCUCAACCAUAGUGUGCUCUGGAAACUGUUUAACUUGAGUGCAGAAGGGGAGAGUGGAAUUCCAUGUGUAGCGGUGAAAUGCGUAGAUAUAUGGAGGACACCGGUGGCGAAAGCGGCUCUC
rnacentral:rRNA from 1 species